CUGGGAACAAGUUUAAUACUCUACUUCAGUGGUCACCAUUGCAUCUGCUGUUAAGGGGGUGCUGACCGAUCAAAGUACCUUGGAGAGCUGUUGUAUAAGGCCCACACAUAACAUACGACUUUGCACGAGUAAGAAAUAAACUUUUGUUGUAUGUGGUUUGGGAGGUUUUUGCUGUUGUUGUUAUCAAAGCAUAAUCUAAUUGAUUUUUGUUAAUGUCUUAUUAUACCAAUUGUGGGAAUUCAGUGAGGAAAGACAGAUAAAGUUCCUAAGGUGCUCUUUGUCAUGAAAGUAUCUUAUUUCUCCAUCAAUUUUGAAAGAUAGUUUUGCAGGGUACAUCAAUCUGGGUUGGAGCCUGUCUUCUUUUAGGGCUUGCAAUAUGUCACUCCAAGCUCUUCUUGCCUUGGUGGUUUGUGUUGAGAACUCUGCUGUGAUUCUGAUGGGCUUUCCUUUGUAUGUGAUUUGUUUCUUUUCUCUAACUGCAUGUAGAACUUCUUCUGUUGAGUUUCUGGAAUCUUAACAAUUAUAUGCUAUGUGUAGAUUUUUUUUUUUAUCAAGGCUAUUUGGAGUCCUAUAUACCUCACUUAUCUGUAUGUCAAGUUCUUUUCUCCUGCUUAGGAAGUUUUCUGCCAUUACUUCUGUGAAGUUUUUUUUAAUGUCAUCUCCACUCUCUCCUGUUUCUUCUUUGACUCCAAUCAGUUUUAUGUUAUUCUUCUUUGCAUCGUGUAGCAGCUGCUGGAUUGAUUUCUCAUGUUCCCUUACAAUUUUAAAGCAAUUUUUCUUUUCCUGGUCACUAAUUGCAAUCUUAUCUUCUAUAUCUGAAGUUCUGUCCUCACAUUGGCUCAUUCUGCUGUGUAGACUUUCAAUGGAGUUUUUAAUCUCCUGGAAAUCUGUUUUGAUCUGUUUUAUGGAUUCCAUUUGUUUCCUAUGUUGGGAUUCCAUCAUGUUCCUGAGCUCCUCUCUAGAUUUAUUAAUCAUGUCUUGCACUAGGGGCCCAAUUUCUCCUGUUAGCUGAGAAAUUAUUUCUGAUUUCAUUUUUUCCAGAUCCCCUUUUGUUGCAAGUUCAGGGAGUCCAGGUGGUUGUGUAUCAGAGUGUCCCAUCUUAUUUCCCUUUGAGGUUGCCGUAGGUGAUCUGGAAGUCUGGUUUGGAGACUUAUUUAUGUGUCUUCUCAUUUUGACCGGGGGUGGGGGAGGCGAUGCUCUUGGCACCCACGGGGCUGACUUCUUCUGACCUGGAAGAGGUGAGACAGGGGCUGGGAGCGGCGGGAUGGAUGGUGGCUUGGAAGCCUCUUCCUCUGGGCCAGGAGCAGUGGGAUGGUGGCUCAGAAGUCCCUACCUCUGUGUCGGGAGUGAUGGGACAGAUGAUGGCCCAAAAGCCCUUUCCUCUGGGCUGGGAGCAACGGGGCUAUUUUUCCAUUUUAAAGGAAACUAGAGAUCAGAGGUUAUAGAACUACUCCAAGGUCACAUAGCAGCAGGGGGCUAAAAUAGGAUUGAAUCCCAGGCUGUCAGAUUGGAAGCCUACCUCUAACCUUCAUGCUAUACCAUAUCUCACUUCCAAGAUAUUUACAUUUGAAGAGAUUCAAUACAGUGAACUAUUUAGCUGAAAAUACCAUAAAAAUGAGCCUUUUGGGCAUAAGGAACAGACUUCCAUUAACUUCAGUGCUCAGCCUGCAUUUAAAGAUUUCUCUCAGGUAGCCUUCUCCUUAGCCUUGGGCGAAAGCUGGCCCUGACCAUGUUACUGGGACAGGAUUGUACAAUCAUCCUCCCCAACCCGGGGCCAUGUUUCUGUGUUGGUUCUUCAAGCUGCUUCUUCACUUCCUCUUGCCCUCAGCCACACUACAGAUCUGCUACUGGCUUCUGACUUCACUGCCUGCCUUAGAAGUGGCAAGCCAAGCAAUCACUUGCUCAACCUUCCUGAGAGCCAGUGAUGGAAAAGAGAAGCAACUCUGGAGCAUGGAACACAAAAGUUUUGGGAGGGACUUCCCAUUGAGGUUCUUUCUUUCCCUGGAGACUCAAUGAUUUUAUGUCUAGUGGUUCAUAAGUUACAAGAUAUCUGGAAUUAGGUGAUCUGACACCCUGUGACUUCUGGCUUUCCCCAAAGACAAAAUGACCAUGGAAGGGAGACCAUGAUGGUGACAUUUGGAAGACCCUGUGUAAGGCAGGGUGAUGUUCCAUUAUUUUUUGUACUUGCUAAAACUCAGAGUUCUGAAAAGUCUGGAUGACACAAUGAAAAGUUUGUGUGCUGAGCAAAAUGUUGUCCAAUUGGCCAAUCCUCUACGUCUUGGGAAAUGUCUAGAAGCUUGGCAAGAAGUUGCUCUCAAGAGAGCACGAAUGCUGCCAAUUUCCAAUUGGCCAAGACACAUUACAAGGACAACCUUCUCUCUGAGCAACCUGGCAUUUCCAUUCCAAUUGGAAUCUGCAAUGUGAAGAUGCACAAGGGAGGGAGAUUAAACAAACGUUUUCAGAUUUCUGUUCCAGGUGAAUCUCUCAUCUUAUCUGGUCUGUUCUGAUCUGCUUUUGUUCACUGACCAUUUCAAACAUUAAGGGACAUGUUACAGGUGAGUUUUCAGAACUGAUAAAUGGCCAGGGCAGAUGCAAGAUGAGAAAACUGAUCUAUUUUUAUACAUACAUAUGAAGCGCUGAACCUGCCUGAACAGUUCAAGUUGUUGCUAAUAAAAUUUUAGAUCUGCUGUGUGAGGCAACCUGCCUGACACAUUGGCCCUUGCUCAAGUAGCUCCCACCCCUGAU
ensembl:lncRNA